rnacentral:rRNA from 1 species
GACGAACGCUGGCGGUGUGCCUCACACAUGCAAGUCGAGCGGAUUUACUUAGUAGCUUGCUAUUAAGUAAGUUAGCGGCGGACGGGUGAGUAAUGCGUAGGAAUCUACCCUAAGGUAGGGGAUAACGGGCUGAAAGGUCCGCUAAUACCCCAUAUGCGGGUUCUCUUCGGAGGAUUCGUGAAAGGAGCAAUUCGCCUUUGGAUGAGCCUGCGUCUGAUUAGCUAGUUGGUAGGGUAAAAGCCUACCAAGGCUACGAUCGGUAGUUGGUCUGAGAGGAUGAUCAGCCACAAUGGGACUGAGACACGGCCCAUACUCCUACGGGAGGCAGCAGUGGGGAAUAUUGGGCAAUGGGCGCAAGCCUGACCCAGCGACGCCGCGUUGGGAAGAAGGCCUCGGUGUAACCCAUGUCGGGAGGAAAGAUGGGUCUGUUUG